rnacentral:rRNA from 1 species
AUUGAACGCUGGCGGCAUGCCUUACACAUGCAAGUCGAACGGCAGCACGGGAGCAAUCCUGGUGGCGAGUGGCGAACGGGUGAGUAAUAUAUCGGAACGUGCCCAGUCGUGGGGGAUAACGCAGCGAAAGCUGUGCUAAUACCGCAUACGAUCUAUGGAUGAAAGCGGGGGAUCGCAAGACCUCGCGCGAUUGGAGCGGCCGAUAUCAGAUUAGCUAGUUGGUGAGGUAAAGGCUCACCAAGGCGACGAUCUGUAGCUGGUCUGAGAGGACGACCAGCCACACUGGAACUGAGACACGGUCCAGACUCCUACGGGAGGCAGCAGUGGGGAAUUUUGGACAAUGGGCGAAAGCCUGAUCCAGCAAUGCCGCGUGCAGGAUGAAGGCCUUCGGGUUGUAAACUGCUUUUGUACGGAACGAAACGGUGAGCUCUAAUACAGUUUGCUAAUGACGGUACCGUAAGAAUAAGCACCGGCUAACUACGUGCCAGCCGCCGCGGUAA